rnacentral:rRNA from 1 species
UGUGCGAUAAAUCAUUCAAGUUUCUGCCCUUUCAGCUUUGGAUGGUAGUGUAUUGGACUACCAUGGCAGUCACGGGUAACGGAGAAUUAGGGUUCGAUUCCGGAGAGGGAGCCUGAGAAACGGCUACCACAUCUACGGAAGGCAGCAGGAGCGAAAAUUGCCCAAUCCCGACACGGGGAGGCAGUGACGAGAAAUAACAACUCUUGGUUAUUCUAAGAAGUGUAAUGAGGAUAAUUUAAAACCCUUACCGAAAGCAAUUGGAGGGCAAGUCUGGUGCCAGCAGCCGCGGUAAUUCCAGCUCCAAUAGCGUAUAUUAAAGUUGUUGCAGUUAAAAAGCUCGUAGUUGAAGUUCUGGCUGCUUGACCCUCGAGCUCUGUAGCCGAGGGCUCAGCAGUCAUCCGCUUGCAAAUAUAUGUUCGCCUUUAACCGGGCGGCUAUAUGAGUAAGCAUUUUACCUUGAGAAAAACAGAGUGUUCCAGGCAGGUUUGUCCGGAAUGCAUUAGCAUGGAAUAAUAGAAUACGACUGAAGUCGAUUUAUUGGUUUGAGGCUUUAGUAAUGAUUAAUAGGAACAGUCGGGGGCAUUGGUACUUGUCAGUCAGAGGUGAAAUUCUAGGAUUUGACAAAGACUAACAAAUGCGAAAGCAUUUGCCAAGGAUGUUUUCAUUAAUCAAGAACGAAAGUUAGGGGAUCAAAGACGAUCAGAUACCGUCCUAGUCUUAACUAUAAACUAUACCGACUCGGAUUCAGAUGAAUCAUAAAGUUCAUUUGGGACCGUAGGAGAAAUCAAAGUUUUUGGGUUCUGGGGGAAGUAUGGUCGCAAGGCUGAAACUUAAAGGAAUUGACGGUUUUGCACCACCAUGGAGUGGAGUCUGCGGCUUAAUUUGACCCAACACUGGGAAACUCAUCAGGGCAAGAAGAUUGUAGGAUUGACAGAUUGAGAGUUCUUUCUUGAUUGGUCUAGUGGUGGUGCAUGGCCGUUCUUAGUUGGUGGAGUGAUUUGUCUGGUUAAUUCCGUUAACGAACGAGACCUUAACCUGCUAACUAGUACACCGAUGACAAAUCGGUGAUACUUCUUAGAGGGACUAUGUGAUGUAAUCACAUGGAAGUUUGAGGCAAUAACAGGUCUGUGAUGCCCUUAGAUGUCCUGAGCUGCACGCGUACUACAAUGGUGCUUUCAUCGAGCUUUUCCUGAUCCGAAAGGAUUUGGGUAAUCUUUUUAGUGAGCACCGUGCUUGGGAUAGAUCUUUGUAAUUAUGGAUCUUGAACUAGGAAUUCCUAGUAAGCACGUGUCAUCAGCA